CUACGGGUCGCAGCAGUAGGGAAUAUUGGACAAUGGGCGAAAGCCUGAUCCAGCAACACCGCGUGCACGAUGACGGCCUUCGGGUUGUAAAGUGCUUUUAGAGGAGAUGAGAAAGGACAGUAUCCUCUGAAUAAGCCUCGGCGAACUACGUGCCAGCAGCCGCGGUAAAACGUAGGAGGCAAGCGUUAUCCGGAUUUAUUGGGCGUAAAGCGCGUGCAGGCGGUCUAGCAAGUUGGAUGUGAAAGCUCCCGGCUCAACUGGGAGAGGUCGGUCAAUACUGUUAGACUAGAGAAUAGGAGAGGGAGGUGGAAUUCCGGGUGUAGUGGUGAAAUGCGUAGAUAUCCGGAGGAACACCAGUGGCGAAAGCGGCCUCCUGGACUAUUUCUGACGCUAAGACGCGAAAGCUAGGGUAGCAAACGGGAUUAGAUACCCUUGUAGUC
rnacentral:rRNA from 1 species